rnacentral:sRNA from 1 species
UGACCCUUUGAAGGUCCAGAUAUAGGGC